GAUCCUGGCUCAGGAUGAACGCUAGCUACAGGCUUAACACAUGCAAGUCGAGGGGCAGCAUUUUUCUAGCAAUAGAAGAGAUGGCGACCGGCGCACGGGUGAGUAACACGUAUCCAACCUACCGAUAACUCCGGAAUAGCCUUUCGAAAGAAAGAUUAAUACCGGAUAGUAUACGAAUAUCGCAUGAUAUUUUAUUAAAGAAUUUCGGUUAUCGAUGGGGAUGCGUUCCAUUAGUUUGUUGGCGGGGUAACCGG
rnacentral:rRNA from 1 species